GCUUCUUUAGUAUUGAUCAGUACAAUUGACUUCCAAUCAAUAAGCUCCGGCGCAGUCCAGAAAGAAGCA
rnacentral:tRNA from 2 species